UACGUAGGGUCCGAGCGUUGUCCGGAAUUACUGGGCGUAAAGGGCUCGUAGGCGGCCAACUAAGUCAUACGUGAAAUCCCUCGGCUUAACCGGGGAACUGCGUCUGAUACUGGAUGGCUUGAGUUCGGGAGAGGGAUGCGGAAUUCCAGGUGUAGCGGUGAAAUGCGUAGAUAUUGGGAGGAACACCAGUGGCUAAGGCGGCUACCUGGACCGGUUCUGACGCUGAGGCGCGAAAGCGUGGGUAGCAAACAGG
rnacentral:rRNA from 1 species